AGAUAAUGAACUUGAUUAAGUUUAUAUUUUGAAAAUAUAAUAUAGAAAUAUUAUUUUCUAUUAUCUU
rnacentral:tRNA from 1 species